rnacentral:ncRNA from 1 species
AUAUCGGGAAUGAUGUUCUCCCGUGAAAUGCCUUUAAUGGCUUUCAGAACCGCCUUAUAAAGCUGAUGACUUCUGUGU